CUUAAGGCUAGAGGAGAUGGCCAGGGCAGAGCAGGGCUGCCCAGUAGCUGACUCAUCUGACAUUACCAUAAUUACAGCGAUUUUCAAACUGUGAGUAAUGCCUGGUGUCAGAGAAUGUCAGGGAACGUUUCUGAGCACUCCCAGCCGCUGCUCGAGGCUGAACCAAGCCAAGGGCAGGGAAGUGCCCUGGGACACCACCUGCCUCAGCCAGCAGGUAACCCAGGGGCUCCAAGGAUUGAGCUUCUCUGGGACCAUCGCCUCUGGUGUUUAAACGGAGCUUUCAGAGUGGCAGUCUGUGGUUGGUAAGCUCUUACUGGAUGAGGAUCUGUAGCGUCCCAGGACUCUAGAAACACACUCUAGAAUCUACUGCGGUUGUGUCUCCUAGGUGAUUCCAAGCCCAUCGCGUUGACGGUGAAGACUAACCAUCUCAGUUCACAGCUAGAAGAUGAGACACCAGCCUCACCAUUCCCUUCAAAGACGCAUCGCCUGUGGCACCCCUCCCCCAUUCAAAGACGCAUCGCCUGUGACACCACCUCUCCCCCAUUCAAAGACGCAUCACUUGUGACACCCCUCCCCCAAACAUCCACCAUUUAUCUAAUGCCAUGCUGGGAAGCAAGCCUUUAUUACACAGGCCUUUAGGGGACCGGAUGGAGUAGCUAUGUAAUAAAAGUUUGUCCGUGCCCUGAGCAUGUGUAUAGCAUUGAG
rnacentral:lncRNA from 1 species